UCUCAGGCUGUGGAUGAGAAUGCAGCCAGUUCCUCUCCUAACGACGCAACAAAGAAAUCCAACAUGGUGCCAUCUCAGGCUGUGGAUGAGAAUGCAGCCAGUUCCUCUCCUAACGACACAACAAAGAAAUCCAACAUGGUGCCAUCUCAGGCUGUGGAUGAGAAUGCAGCCAGUUCCUCUCCUAACGACACAACAAAGAAAUCCAACAUGGUGCCAUCUCAGGCUGUGGAUGAGAAUGCAGCCAGUUCCUCUCCUAACGACACAACAAAGAAAUCCAACAUGGUGGCAUCUCAGGCUGUGGAUGAGAAUGCAGCCAGUUCCUCUCCUAACGACGCAACAAAGAAAUCCAACAUGGUGGCAUCUCAGGCUGUGGAUGAGAAUGCAGCCAGUUCCUCUCCUAACGACGCAACAAAGGACUGCGAUCAUGAUCUAGUCCCUGACGAAAUGUCAAGUUUAGAAAAAUGUUUUGCAUGUGGAGGACCUUUUUCGCCUCUGAAAUGGAGUGGUGUGAGAUGUGAAGUUUGCUACCAGUCCUGGCACAAAAGAUGUUAUGUUAGCCACAAGGUGAACCUCACUGAACCUCUUCCAGAGGUCUUUAGUGAAGAUAGUUCAAGUGAGGGGGCUUCAUCAGAAG
ensembl:lncRNA